UACGUAGGGGGCAAGCGUUAUCCGGAUUUACUGGGUGUAAAGGGAGCGUAGACGGAAUUGCAAGUCAGAAGUGAAAGCCCGGGGCUCAACUCCGGGACUGCUUUUGAAACUGUGUGACUGGAGUGCAGGAGAGGUAAGCGGAAUUCCUGGUGUAGCGGUGAAAUGCGUAGAUAUUAGGAGGAACACCAGUGGCGGGGGCGGCUUACUGGACGGUAACUGACGCUGAGGCUCGAAAGCGUGGGGAGCAAACAGG
rnacentral:rRNA from 1 species